rnacentral:misc_RNA from 1 species
AACAAGGCGUACCUGCGGACCUGCGGAGGGAUCAUUACGAGAGUGUCACCACUCCCAACCCAUUGUUUACCUACCCGUCCACCGUGCUUCGGCAGGCAGCCCUGUGGGACAGAGCCUCGCCCCCCUCCGCGGGGGGGUGCCUGCCGCUGGCCAACCAACAACUCUAGCUGUUUUAGUACCAUCUGAGUCUUCCACAAAUGAACAAAACUUUCAACAACGGAUCUCAGAUCGGAAGAGCAC